CGGGGCGACGCCGUUCUGAAAACACAGCCACGAGGGACCCUCGGGACUCCCGGCGAGGGAGGCGACAGCCGUGUCGCUCAGGGGCCGUGUAUGAAGUGAGGGGAGGGGGCCCUCGGCUGCCGCACCCCCAUCUCGCUUUGGGGGCCGGGGAACCUCAGAGCCUCGGGGACUGACUGCGGCUCCCUGAAGGAGCCUGUCCCGUCGGGACGCCGCCCUCGAGCGCCGGGGGAGGACAGGCAGCAGGUGAGGCCACAGCGGCAGGACGGGGCCUUCCCGGCUCCUAAAAACAGCGCCGGCCCCCCCAGCUGGAGGAGGCGAGUUGAAAGGAGGCUUUCAAGCGCCGCUCCGCCUCCUGAAGCCAACGGUCCCGACACAAAGAUGCCCUCGGAGGACAGAACUAGAAUCCGGACGACCUUGACAAGUUGAAGCCGCCGCCGCCGCCGCCGCCGCAGCGGGGACUCGAAUGUACAAAGAGAAGGCGGUCGAGGGCUUGAAUCGUGAGCCUCCAAUUCGCACGGGGGAGUCCCAGCCGCCGGGAGCUCAGGACGCGACCUUGUCCGGAAGGGGGUCUCUGCAGAUUCUGAGAUCUGAGGCUUUCCGUUAAUUUUCGUUUCUCGCAGUCUGAUUCCCUCUGUUCGGAGUUCAAACCAGGGCAAAGUAAACACUUCGUUUAGCGCUGUGGAUACAGGCAGCGUCCUUUAGCGUUUAAGGGUCUUAAAAUAUGAGUAAAAUGCACCGAACUCCAAAGCUGAAUGAUUUCAGAAAACCCAAGAGCCCGUCAUCAGCAACGAGAGACACGCAAGAGGUGAGCGCGUCCUGGGACCUCCCCGGGACCCGGGACCGGAGAGCAGCUUGCGGAAGAAACAUGGAACCAGGCCCGAGCCGAGGAUUCCGCCCCGACCCCCAGCCCGGCCAUGAGGGCACAGGAGACGCACCCCGACACAGGGCGUCCCGCAGACCCCUGACCCGUCCCCCGAGACAGCCUGGGGCCUCCACACCGGAUCAUCUGAGCCCAGAGGGGCCCAGGGGACAGGACAGCUGAAUGUCACCUGGGGUCCUGAUGGGGACCGGGACAGAGGACGACGUACAGUAAACCGAGGCAAUCUGAAUAAACUACGGACGGCAGUUGACAGUGGAGCGUCCGUGUCG
rnacentral:lncRNA from 1 species